GACGAACGCUGGCGGCGUGCUUAACACAUGCAAGUCGAACGGAAAGGCCCUGCUUUUGUGGGGUGCUCGAGUGGCGAACGGGUGAGUAACACGUGAGUAACCUGCCCUUGACUUUGGGAUAACUUCAGGAAACUGGGGCUAAUACCGGAUAGGAGCUCCUGCUGCAUGGUGGGGGUUGGAAAGUUUCGGCGGUUGGGGAUGGACUCGCGGCUUAUCAGCUUGUUGGUGGGGUAGUGGCUUACCAAGGCUUUGACGGGUAGCCGGCCUGAGAGGGGGACCGGCCACAUUGGGACUGAGAGACAGCACAGACUCCUACGGGAGGCAGCGGUGGGGAAUGUUGCACAAUGGGCGGAAGCCUGAUGCAGCAACGCCGCGUGCGGGAUGACGGCCUUCGGGUUGUAAACCGCUUUCGCCUGGGACGAAGCGUGAGUGACGGGAAUGGGUAAAGAAGCACCGGAUAACUACG
rnacentral:rRNA from 1 species